GCGGAGUAGAGCAGCCUGGAAGCUCAUGAGGCUCAUAACCUUAAGAUCACGGGUUCAAAUCCCGUCUCCGCG
rnacentral:tRNA from 1 species